GAUGAACGCUGGCGGCGUGCCUAAUACAUGCAAGUCGAGCGAACAGACGAGGAGCUUGCUCCUCUGACGUUAGCGGCGGACGGGUGAGUAACACGUGGAUAACCUACCUAUAAGACUGGGAUAACUUCGGGAAACCGGAGCUAAUACCGGAUAAUAUAUUGAACCGCAUGGUUCAAUAGUGAAAGACGGUUUUGCUGUCACUUAUAGAUGGAUCCGCGCCGCAUUAGAUAGUUGGUAAGGUAACGGCUUACCAAGGCGACGAUGCGUAGCCGACCUGAGAGGGUGAUCGGCCACACUGGAACUGAGACACGGUCCAGACGACUACGGGAGGCAGCAGUAGGGAAUCUUCCGCAAUGGGCGAAAGCCUGACGGAGCAACGCCGCGUGAGUGAUGAAGGUCUUCGGAUCGUAAAACUCUGUUAUUAGGGAAGAACAAAUGUGUAAGUAACUAUGCACGGCUUGACGGUACCUAAUCAGAAAGCAACGGCUAACUACGUG
rnacentral:rRNA from 1 species